CUUGGUCAUUUAGAGGAAGUAAAAGUCGUAACAAGGUCUCCGUUGGUGAACCAGCGGAGGGAUCAUUACAGAGUUGCAAAACUCCCUAAACCAUUGUGAACGUUACCUUCAAACCGUUGCUUCGGCGGGCGGCCCGGGUCCGCCCGGUGCCCCCUGGCCCCCUAGCGGGGCGCCCGCCGGAGGAAACCCAACUCUUGAUUAUUAUGGCCUCUCUGAGUCUUCUGUACUGAAUAAGUCAAAACUUUCAACAACGGAUCUCUUGGUUCUGGCAUCGAUGAAGAACGCAGCGAAAUGCGAUAAGUAAUGUGAAUUGCAGAAUUCAGUGAAUCAUCGAAUCUUUGAACGCACAUUGCGCCCGCCAGUAUUCUGGCGGGCAUGCCUGUUCGAGCGUCAUUUCAACCAUCAAGCCCCAGGCUUGUGUUGGGGACCUGCGGCUGCCGCAGGCCCUGAAAACCAGUGGCGGGCUCGCUGUCACACCGGGCGUAGUAGAUUUUAUCUCGCUCAGGGCGUGCUGCGGGUUCCGGCCGUUAAAAAGCCUUUUUUACCCAAGGUUGACCUCGGAUCAGGUAGGAAGACCCGCUGAACUUAAGCAUAUCAAUAAGCGGAGGA
rnacentral:rRNA from 1 species